AUGCUACACGAGCCGAGUGAUGUCCCUCUAAAGUCCCUUUCCACAGGUAAGCGCCACACAUGGAGUUGAUUAUUUUUAUGCAUGAUUUGGGCAGUGUGAAAGUGCUACACCAAAAGUUUGUGAUCCCUGCUAAAACUGUGUUGAUAAGUAAUAAUCUUCCUGCAAAAGAAAGAGUUUUGGCUGACCAAGAGUUUAGUUUUCCUUUUAUGCUUGAUAUCAGUGGCUCACAGUUAGACAAUGAUAAUUUUUUUGGUGCAGAGAGGGACUCCAAGGUAUCUGAUUGGGAGGGUUCCAUGAGACAGACCUGUUUCCUCAGCAAUUUCCGUAACUUCUGUCUGCGGUAGCCCACAAGUGAAGAAGCAGGUUUUUGAUAGACUUACUCCAAGACCCGAGUGCCUUUCGAAUUCAUUUAGUACUUCCAACACUCCUUUAACUGAUUGUUUAUCUCCUUUGGUGAAUAUUAGCAGAUCAUCAGCGAAACAUAGGUGCGUUAGUUUACUAUCCUCGCAGUUUUGAUGGUAUCCAAAUCUUCCUUCUGUCGCUGCGUUGUUGAGGAGAGUAGAUAAGCAGUUCAUUGCAAC
rnacentral:lncRNA from 1 species